rnacentral:rRNA from 1 species
GACGAACGCUGGCGGCGUGCUUAACACAUGCAAGUCGAACGGAAAGGCCCUGCUUUUGUGGGGUGCUCGAGUGGCGAACGGGUGAGUAACACGUGAGUAACCUGCCCUUGACUUUGGGAUAACUUCAGGAAACUGGGGCUAAUACCGUAUAGGAGCUCCUGCUCCAUGGUGGGGGUUGGAAAGUUUCGGCGGUUGGGGAUGGACUCGCGGGUUAUCAGCUUGUUGGUGGGGUAGUGGCUUACCAAGGCAUUGACGGGUAGGCGGCCUGAGAGGGUGACCGGGCACAUUGGGACUGAGAGACGGACCAGAGGCGUACGGGAGGCAGCAGGGGGGAAUAUUGCACAAUGGGCGGAAGCCGGAGGCAGCAACGCCGCGUGCGGGAUGACGGCCUUCGGGUUGUAAACCGCUUUCGCCUGUGACGAAGCGUGAGUGACGGUAAUGGGUAAAGAAGCACCGGCUAACUACGUG